AUGAAAAUAUUAGUCAUACCCCACCCAAGAGCAGGCCAUUUCAGAGCUUGCUGGAUCGCAAAGAUCCGACUUAAAGCCAAGGUCCAUAUCUGGGAUUUUGAAGCCUCAACCUGUGGUGUUCGGAGGAGGCCCAUCGUGCCAUCGGCUGAUUUUCGCAGCGUCGCUGGUCAGCUCGGAGCUCUUGGGAGGGCGCGAGAGGACAGCAAAGCCAGUGAGGCCAUGGCCCGCGCUCUCAUCGAGAGCCACCUGACGCCGUGGACCAGGUGGGGCCACGACCACUUGUGUGCAGGAGACUUGCUGCUGCUGCAGGCUCAUCACAUUUCGCCUAAACAUCCCCAAGGUGGUUCCAGUAGACAGAAACAUGACGGCUACAGGUAGACAUGAGGAGUCUUAAAUUCUGGUAUCUUUAUGUGCUCUGUGUAAAUUUUGUAUUUUUAUGUUAACCUGGUUUUGUACCUUGCCUGGAGCUCUCCUAUGUGAAUGUGCGUAGGCUGUCCUAUGUUGCAAUACAGUAUAGGCUGCUUGGAUUCUAAUGACCCUUUCUGUCAUUUCCAAACACUCUUUGAUUGGAAGGAGCCUAGGCUCUUCAUUUGAAUGUGAUGGUCAUUAAUGCCUUGGCCAUUUCUCCACUGGAACCAUGGUUCCCACUUGCAGUUUGAUGUCAUUCAGCCCUCACACACUCUCACACAUAUACAUUUCACAGAUGUGUCAAGAGAGGCCUUAGAACGUAGAGAGGAAAAAUUUGCCUGGGCUAUAGUGAGAUUGUGUGGCAAAGCCAAGAAUGAAAAAAGUAAAAAAAAAAAAUCUGGCUCUGAGUCCUUUUUUCUAAUGACGAGACACCACUCCCUCAUUGGAACAUAUUUGAUUUUAAUGCCUUACAGGGACACGGGGAGCUGGCUGGUUUGCAAAAUUGAGAAAUCUACUCUUUCUACUGGAGCGGCACGGCCUUCCCUGCCACCAUGUUGAAGGAGCUGUUGGUCUUUAAUAGAUAAGUCCCUCUCCUCCCCUGUCCUUUCUCCUCCAUACCUCUUCUACCCCGAAUCCCUCCUGAAUGUUCUGGAUGGAAGUUUAUUCUGAUCUUAGUUCUAAAAGAACAACAUAAAUUUCUCGAGCACAUAACAAUGUUUACACGCAUGGACAGUGAAACAGAAUCUAAAUUAGGAGGUGAUUCUUAGGAGUUUGUGUCUCCUUGAUGUCUCUGUUGAGAUCUUAGGGAAGAGGAUCUGGAAACCAAGUACUUUGAUUCUUUCUCUGUCCAAAUUGAGCUUGCCCUCCUUGAAUUGUCAGUCUCUUGCUCUAUUGAAUCCCAAACUUCCUAAACUCUUUUCCCUUUUCUCUAUGUUACCUUCCAUCCUCUCACCACAGAUGGUUGGGUUCU
rnacentral:lncRNA from 12 species